GACGAACGCUGGCGGCGUGCCUAAUACAUGCAAGUCGAACGCUGAAGCUUGGUGCUUGCACCUAGCGGAUGAGUUGCGAACGGGUGAGUAACGCGUAGGUAACCUGCCUGUUAGCGGGGGAUAACUAUGGGAAACGAUAGCUAAUACCGCAUAAUAUUAUAUAUUGCAUGACAUUUGCGUAAAAGGUGCAAUUGCAUCACUACCAAAUGGACCUGCGGUGUAUUAGCUAGUUUGUGAGGUAACGGCUCACCAAGGCAAACGUACAUAGCCGAACUGAGAGGGGGAUCGGCCACACCGGGAAUGGGACCACGCCCAGACUUCUUCGGGGAGGAGCAGUAGGGAAUCCUCGGGAAAUGACGGAAGUCUGACCGAGCAACGCCGGGGGAGUUAAGAAGGGUCUCGGAUCGGAAAGACUCGUUGUAAGGGAAGAACGAGUGUGAGAGUGGAAAGUGCACACUGUGACGGUAUCUUAUCAGAAAGCGACGGCUAACUACGUG
rnacentral:rRNA from 1 species